AUUGAACGCUGGCGGCAUGCCUUACACAUGCAAGUCGAACGGCAGCACGGGUGCUUGCACCUGGUGGCGAGUGGCGAACGGGUGAGUAAUGCAUCGGAACGUACCCGGAAGUGGGGGAUAACGUAGCGAAAGUUACGCUAAUACCGCAUAUUCUGUGAGCAGGAAAGAGGGGGAUCGCAAGACCUCUCGCUUUCGGAGCGGCCGAUGUCGGAUUAGCUAGUUGGCGGGGUAAAAGCCCACCAAGGCGACGAUCCGUAGCGGGUCUGAGAGGAUGAUCCGCCACACUGGGACUGAGACACGGCCCAGACUCCUACGGGAGGCAGCAGUGGGGAAUUUUGGACAAUGGGCGCAAGCCUGAUCCAGCCAUGCCGCGUGAGUGAAGAAGGCCUUCGGGUUGUAAAGCUCUUUUGUCGGGGAAGAAAUGAUCUGGGCUAAUACCCUGGGGUGAUGACGGUACCUGAAGAAUAAGCACCGGCUAACUACGUGCCAGCCGCCGCCGUAAAAC
rnacentral:rRNA from 1 species